UAAUGAAGCCUAUGAUGUAUGUAUUCAUCUCCAUCUCUGUUCCUGCUAAAGCUUUUGGCUACAAUUUUUCAAUGCUGAUUUUUUCAGAAUUUUUCUUUUAGGAAUUCAAAGAAUCCAGAUACAUGCAAUUAAACUAUAAGCAAAUCAUUAGAUAAAAUGAAAUUUUUAAUAGGCGAAAUUGUUGGAAAUUUUGAAUAAUUGAUAUCUUCUGCACAAGAAGACAAAGUCUGCCAUGCAUCAGGAGGAGUGUAGAUGGUGUUCAAAUCUUACAGAUGACAACUCCUUCCCAAUAUUAGGGCAAAAUUAAAA
rnacentral:misc_RNA from 1 species